rnacentral:rRNA from 1 species
CCCCACUGCUAUCGGGGUGGGACUAAAACAUGCAAGUCGAGCGCCUCCAAGCUAUGGUGAAGGCGCGGCAAACGGCUCAGUAACACGUGGCCAACCUACCCUUGGGACGGAGACAACCCCGGGAAACUGGGGCUAAUCCCCGAUAAGUAAGGAAUCCUGGAAUGGAUCUUUGCUGAAAGGGCGUCUGGACCAUGCUUCUUGACGUCGCCCAAGGAUGGAGCCGCGACCGAUCAGGUAGUUGGCGAGGCAACGGCUCACCAAGCCUAUAACCGGUACGGGCCGUGAGAGCGGGAGCCCGGAGAUGGGCACUGAGACAAGGGCCCAGGCCCUACGGGGCGCAGCAGUUGCGAAAACUCCGCAAUGCGCGAAAGCGUGACGGGGCUACCCCGAGUGCCGCCCGUUGAGGGCGGCUUUUCCAUGGUGUAAGGAGCCGUGGGAAUAAGGAGAGGGCAAGACUGGUGUCAGCCGCCGCGGUAAUACCAGCUCUCCGAGUGGUGGGGACGAUUAUUGGGCUUAAAGCGUUCGUAGCCGGCUUAACAAGUCUUCCGUUAAAUCCAACGAUCUAAUCGUUGGGCUGCGGGAGAUACUGUUGGGCUAGGAGGCGGGAGAAGCCGACGGUAUUCUCGGGGUAGGGGUGAAAUCCUGUAAUCCCGGGAGGACCACCAGUGGCGAAGGCGGUCGGCUAGAACGCGCUCGACGGUGAGGGACGAAAGCUGGGGGAGCGAACCGGAUUAGAAACCCGGGUAGUCCCAGCUGUAAACGAUGCGGGCUAGGUGUUGGGGUGGCCACGAGCCACUUCAGUGCCGCAUGGAAGCAAUUAAGCCCGCCGCCUGGGGAGUACGGCCGCAAGGCUGAAACUUAAAGGAAUUGGCGGGGGAGCACCACAAGGCGUGAAGCUUGCGGUUU